UGGUGGACUGCUUCAAGAAAUAUCUUUAGGAGACACAUGUGUCAGAGGCAUAUUAUAAGAAUUUACUUAUAAUGAAGAAUCACUUAAUAAAUGAACAAUUACUGAAAGAAAAUCAUUGUCUA